rnacentral:rRNA from 1 species
CCUACGGGAGACAGCAGUGAGGAAUAUUGGUCAAUGGACGAGAGUCUGAACCAGCCAAGUAGCGUGAAGGAUGACUGCCCUAUGGGUUGUAAACUUCUUUUAUAGAGGAAUAAAACGAGGCACGUGUGCCUUUUUGCAUGUACUUUAUGAAUAAGGAUCGGCUAACUCCGUGCCAGCAGCCGCGGUAAUACGGAGGAUCCGAGCGUUAUCCGGAGUUAUUGGGGUUAAAGGGAGCGUAGAUGGGUUGUUAAGUCAGUUGUGAAAGGUUGCGGCUCAACCGUAAAAUUGCAAUUGAUACUGGCAGUCUUGAGUACAGUUGAGGUAGGCGGAAUUCGUGGUGUAGCGGUGAAAUGCUUAGAGAUCACGAAGAACCCCGAUUGCGAAGGCAGCUUACUAAACUGUGACUGACAUUGAUGCUCGAAAGUGUGGGUAUCAAACAGGAUUAGAUACCCCUGUAGUC